GGGCAGCACGAUGUAGCAAUACAUUGGUGGCGACCGGCGCACGGGUGAGUAACGCGUAUGCAACCUACCUAUCAGAGGGGAAUAACCCGGCGAAAGUCGGACUAAUACCGCAUAAAACAGGGGUUCCACAUGGAAAUAUUUGUUAAAGAAUUAUCGCUGAUAGAUGGGCAUGCGUUCCAUUAGAUAGUUGGUGAGGUAACGGCUCACCAAGUCCACGAUGGAUAGGGGUUCUGAGAGGAAGGUCCCCCACACUGGUACUGAGACACGGACCAGACUCCUACGGGAGGCAGCAGUGAGGAAUAUUGGUCAAUGGGCGAGAGCCUGAACCAGCCAAGUCGCGUGAAGGAUGAAGGAUCUAUGGUUUGUAAACUUCUUUUAUAUGGGAAUAAAGUGAGGAACGUGUUCCUUUUUGUAUGUACCAUAUGAAUAAGCAUCGGCUAACUCCGUGCCAGCAGCCGCGGUAAUACGGAGGAUGCGAGCGUUAUCCGGAUUUAUUGGGUUUAAAGGGUGCGUAGGUGGUUAAUCAAGUCAGCGGUGAAAGUUUGUGGCUCAACCAUAAAAUUGCCGUUGAAACUGGUUGACUUGAGUAUAUUUGAGGUAGGCGGAAUGCGUGGUGUAGCGGUGAAAUGCAUAGAUAUCACGCAGAACUCCGAUUGCGAAGGCAGCUUACUAAACUAUAACUGACACUGAAGCACGAAAGCGUGGGGAUCAAACAGGAUUAGAUACCCUGGUAGUCCACGCAGUAAACGAUGAUUACUAGCUGUUUGCGAUACACAGUAAGCGGCACAGCGAAAGCGUUAAGUAAUC
rnacentral:rRNA from 1 species